rnacentral:rRNA from 1 species
GAUGAACGCUGGCGGCGUGCCUAACACAUGCAAGUCGAACGGGGUAAUUUCUUCGGAGAUUACUUAGUGGCGAACGGGUGAGUAACGCGUGAGAAACCUGCCUUUCAGUGGGGGACAACAGUUGGAAACGACUGCUAAUACCGCACAAUGUUAUUUGGGGCAUCCCCGAAUAACCAAAGCUUUAUGUGCUGAAAGAUGGUCUCGCGUCUGAUUAGCUAGUUGGUGAGGUAACGGCUCACCAAGGCGACGAUCAGUAGCCGGUCUGAGAGGAUGAACGGCCACAUUGGGACUGAGAUACGGCCCAGACUCCUACGGGAGGCAGCAGUGGGGAAUAUUGGGCAAUGGGGGAAACCCUGACCCAGCAACGCCGCGUGAAGGAAGAAGGCCUUCGGGUUGUAAACUUCUUUAGUCAGGGACGAAGAACGUGACGGUACCUGCAGAAAAGACAACGGACGUAACUACGUAGCCAGCAGCCGCGGU